rfam:Fulmarus glacialis contig19158, whole genome shotgun sequence.
GCUCAAUGAUGAUAUAAAGGCUAAUGUGACUUGACCAGCUGGGUUGCACCCUCAGCCCAUUCCAGUAAUAGGGGUCUGUAAUCUUGGUGGACAAUGCAGAGCUGUGCGUGUUCGCUGUAAGGGCAGGCCGACAGAAAAUCCCCUUCCCCACAUCCUUGGAAAAUACAUCUUUGGGAUGCAUCAGCUCUGAGUGAGUGUUUCUAUGAGCUGACGGGGGGCUGUGGGGAUAGGACAGGAUAGCACAUCCAAGGUUUGGGUUGCAGGGGGUAGCCCAUGUUACAGCUGGUAAGAUGUGAGCACACGUCUUUGGUAAUCUGAUGACU